ACCCGGAAAUCCGACCCGUUACCGGCGCUAGGAUCCAGAUCGGCUUAAGGCCGCCGGGACCCGUAGCAAGCCAAACAUACCUCCUGUAACCUGUAAUAUCCCAUACAUGAUCAACAUACAUAAAGCUGUAAACUUUUUUUUUUUUUUCUUUCUCCAAGCUUAACCUGAACAUGUGCACAUCAAUAACAUAACCACCACUGGAGUCCUCAUCAAAUGCUCCAAUGGGGUAUUUCAUCAUUCGAUAAGCUUGGACUAUCAAAUACAUCAUAAAAACAUUUCUAUAGAUCAUGUACCAAGGGGAUAACCAUAAACAUAGGGUCAAGCACAUACUAAUCCUCAAUCAUCAUUAUCAUUACAUAUCAUAACUAUACAUUACUCAUUACAUCAUGUUCAUGUCCACUACUAUCUAUUACAACAUACAAGGCUUGACUUCACUCUAGCCGACUUCUUGAUCUAUCCUGUACCUGCAACUCUGGGGAUAAAGGGAGUGGGGUGAGCUACUAGAGCCCAGUGAGCAGAAACUAAAAACAUUUGUUUUAAUUCCUCCAUUUUUAGGUAUAUUAUUAUUCAUUUUAUUAUUAUUAUUAUUAUCAUUUAACCUUUUCUUUUUUUUUCUUAUUCAUGCUUUCAUGUAUGCGCCAUAACACAAACAUUUCACAACAAGGAUGAACUUGUCACCAUUUAGCCCCUAUCUUUCUUACUUAUACAUGCCGGGGGCGUAGAGCCGUAGCAGGCACACCCGGACUUCCAUAAUCAGUCAUAGUGCCAGGGGCGUGGAGCCGUAGCAGGCACACCUGGACUCACAUAGGCUAUCAUGACAUACAAGGGCUAAUGGAUCAUUCAACAUUCAUCCACAUCAACAACAAAGUAUGCAAUGCAACAUAUUCGUGAAUUCUAAUGCAUACAACCUAAUAUUGCAUAGCAUAAUGAUGCAUGGGCAAUGCUUUAUGAUUCAUUCAUUUAUUCCUUUACUUUAAAGCUUAAGGGGUUGUUCCACUCACCUGGUAACUGAAGCUUUACAACGAACUCUGAACGACUAUCUCACAAUCGGGGGUCUCGGUUCCUCGGGUCCGAACCUACACAGGUGGACUCAAAUGAGGCACCAAACAUACAUGAACAUGACUCUAAAAUACUCCCCAAAGACCCCCCCAAAACAUCCUGAAAACAUCACAUGAAAACAUACAAGAAAUGGCUGAACAGGGCACUUUCGGCGGCAGGUUCGGCGGCCGAAAGUCCCUCUGCAGCCGAAAGUCAUGCAGGUUCGGCGGCACUUUCGGCGGCCGAACUUCCCAGACAGAGACGAAACUUGAGUUUCGGGGGCAGGCUUCGGCAGCCGAAACUGCCUCCACAAGGGGGUUCGGCGGCCGAAAGUCACUUCGGCGGCCGAACCUGAGUUUCUGCCGAAGGGCAGAAACUUGGUUCCCUUGUGUCCACAGCCUCCAAAAUACCUCAGAACAUGCAUAAACUUGUUUCUACUCAUGCAUACACAUCAUACAUCACACCUAGGGGUCUCAAACUAUAAUAUACCCCAACUACAACACUUCAAACAACACAUUUCAAACAUACAUUGUUCAAAAACAUACAUUAUACCCAUAAACAUACACAUAACCUAAACAUGCAUUCUAACCCAUAGAUCUCGCAUAAAACUUAUUUAAAACAUAAUAAGAGUUCAAGAUCGACCCCUACCUCUUGAAGAUCGAGAGGAAAACGACCUUGACUCAAAGAUGGGAGGAUUGAGCUCCUUGAACCUCAAAGCACUUAAACUUGCUUAAAACUUGUAAAUCUUCAAAACAAGGUUAUAAACUUGUUAAAAACGUGAAAGAUUGAAGGAAAAUGCUCAAGAUUGGUGAGGGGCGGCGAAGGUUUACCUU
rnacentral:lncRNA from 1 species